rnacentral:rRNA from 1 species
GACGAACGCUGGCGGCGUGCUUAACACAUGCAAGUCGAACGGAGUGGCGAACGGGUGAGUAAUACGUGGGUAACAUGCCGUCCUUUUUGGGAUACGCCUUGGAAACGGGGUCUAAUACCGCAUAGAGGUGGAGGGGGUCUCGGCCUAUCAGCUGGUUGGUGGGGUGAUGGCCUACCAAGGCGGUGACGGGUAGCCGGACUGAGAGGUUGACCGGCAACUGAGGGACUGAGAUGCGGCCCAGACGCGGACGGGAGGGAGAAGUGGGGGAUAUGGCACAAUGGGUGAAAGCCUGAUGCAGCGAGUCCGCGUGGGGGAUGAAGGCUGUCGGGUUGUAAACGUCGUGCGCUAUCGAACGGGUAGGUGGAGAAGAAGCGCCGGCUAACUACGUGCCAGCCGCCGCGGUAAUAC